UUUGAAUAAUAAGGGCCAAUAAAAUCCACUUUGUAAGACUUUAGCUGCAGUUUUUCUACCCCCAAAAUGUCCUCCGCAGGCUUGGGUAUGACAAAAAUCAAGAAUACUCUGAAAUUCACAUUCCGGCACACAUCGACGGAUUACUUGAUCAGGACAGUACUUAAACAGAUCGGGGUCAUCCCAAAGGUAGAACUUAACUUGCGAAAAGAAUCGAUCCUUGUCCUGCUUGGACCAAUGAUCGGAAAUUUGUCCUAUGGCAAGAUAGUUCACUAUGUUGGCAAACCAUGGUGUUUUUACUUGUUGUACCUCAAACAAUUGUUCAUCUGGAAAGGAGUCAUGAAGCGGUGAAUGUUAUGAGGAGGUUCGAGAAGGAUUCUA
rnacentral:lncRNA from 1 species